GACGAACGCUGGCGGCGUGCUUAACACAUGCAAGUCGAACGAAGAGCGAUGGAAGCUUGCUUCUAUCAAUCUUAGUGGCGAACGGGUGAGUAACGCGUAAUCAACCUGCCCUUCAGAGGGGGACAACAGUUGGAAACGACUGCUAAUACCGCAUACGAUCUAACCUCGGCAUCGAGGAAAGAUGAAAGGUGGCCUCUAUUUAUAAGCUAUCACUGAAGGAGGGGAUUGCGUCUGAUUAGCCAGUUGGAGGGGUAACGGCCCACCAAGGCGAUGAUCAGUAGCCGGUCUGAGAGGAUGAACGGCCACAUUGGGACUGAGACACGGCCCAGACUCCUACGGGAGGCAGCAGUGGGGAAUCUUCCGCAAUGGACGAAAGUCUGACG
rnacentral:rRNA from 1 species